CCAAUAGCGUAUAUUAAAGUUGUUGCAGUUAAAAAGCUCGUAGUUGAAUUUCGGGGUUAGUAGGUUGGUCAUGCCUCUGGUAUGUACUGGUCUCACUGAUUCCUCCUUCCUGAUGAACCUUAAUGCCAUUUAUUUGGUGUUUUGGGGAAUUUGGACUGUUACUUUGAAAAAAUUAGAGUGUUUAAAGCAAGCUAACGCUU
rnacentral:rRNA from 1 species